UACGAAGGGUGCUAGCGUUGUUCGGAAUCACUGGGCGUAAAGCGCGCGUAGGCGGCCAAUCAAGUCAGGGGUGAAAUCCUUGGGCUCAACCCAAGAAUUGCCUUUGAAACUGUUUGGCUGGAGUAUUGGAGGGGAGUGCGGAAUUUCUAAUGUAGCGGUGAAAUGCGUAGAUAUUAGAAGGAACACCGGUGGCGAAGGCGGCACUCUGGACAAUUACUGACGCUGAGGCGCGAAAGCGUGGGGAUCAAACAGG
rnacentral:rRNA from 1 species